UACGUAGGGGGCAAGCGUUGUUCGGAAUUACUGGGCGUAAAGCGUGCGUAGGUGGUUUGUUAAGUCUGUUGUGAAAGCCCCGGGCUCAACCUGGGAAUGGCAAUGGAUACUGGCAAGCUAGAGUGCGGUAGAGGGUAGUGGAAUUCCCGGUGUAGCGGUGAAAUGCGUAGAGAUCGGGAGGAACACCAGUGGCGAAGGCGGCUACCUGGACCAGCACUGACACUGAGGCACGAAAGCGUGGGGAGCAAACAGG
rnacentral:rRNA from 1 species